rnacentral:tRNA from 1 species
GUAGACUUAGUUUAAAAAAGACAUUAGACCGUGACUCUAAAAAUAGGGGUUAAAACCCCCUAGUCCACC